AUACCCACACGACGACCCACACUGACAGGUCCAUAGCCCUGAUGAGCCCUUGGGUGGUGGCAAGCACCAAUUUGCCGUCUUGAAAUCAGGUCCUGCGGAUCCUAGUCAAGCAGCCCUAAAUGAUGCUGUGAGGAAGAACCCACAGAGAAGUAUAGCAAUAAUUUGUGGAUGGGGCUUUAAAGCAGUCGCCUUUUGCAGGACACCUGCUUCUUUAAGAUAGUUGUAAGAAGACUACAGGCUACAUUUUCACCUCUGAAGUCAUGAAAAUAUGGUAGUAAUUAUCCAAGAUUUUUAACCAUAGUGCAAGAUAUCAAGAAGUUUGAAAUAAAGAAGAGAACGAGGUAACUUUUUGAUCUUUGGGUAAUCAGGAAACUACAAGAGUUUCUGAACCAAACUAUGUUAAUCUCUUAAGUUUUCUGCUUUAUUUGAAAAUUAGGCCACUGCUUCUUUGGCUCCCUGACUUCCCAAAGCACCCUCAUCCUGAGUGUUUUCCUCCAGUAAACACUGGGCUCACCUAUUGGUUUAUUUUUAUCAUUUAAAAAAUCAAACUGCAAUCACGAGUCACGUGUUUGGCAGCCUUCUGUCUUAAAGAAGCAGCAUCAGCAUACCUGAAGGAAGCCCAGGUGAGCAGAGCUCUGGCCUCAAGACGACAGGGCUGCAGCAGAAGUAGGAACAUAAUGGGCCUUGGAAGGGAAGCCUAUGCAGUGUACGUGGCCAGCACACAUCGCCACACGAAAUGAUGGCAUCUGGAGGCAGGGGCAGCACUAGAUGUGGUUCCCGUUAGUCCUGCGGAGCACUUUCUGAACUAGAAGAUGAUCUACAAAUAUGAGAUGUUGAAUAAACUGGUCUCAGUGAGAUGUUGCAGUAGUUCAGGCAGUGCUUACGUACCCUGGAGCCAACUCUCAUGUAUGCUAAGAUUGCAAUGAAGAUCAAACAGGAAGACAGUCACCAUCAGUGAUGUCAGCUACAUUAAAGUGAAUAAAAUGGUGGCAUUUGCCAAAAAGCACAGAAGGGCAAUAUGUCAUCCUAAGUCGAUCUAAGUAAAAAGUCAACAAAAUACCUCAAUCCCUCCCCCUACACAUAUGUGAAGCGGAUUGCUGGUCCAGGUCUUGCAGAUGAGGAAAUGAGAUGAAGAAAGUUUACUAGAGACUGUCUCUUCCUGCUGCCUCCUUGCUGCCUGGUCCCUUGGAUAGACCCACUUCCUGUGUGACCACACUCUCCCUGGCCACAAGUAUUGGGCCAAGGUAAAUGCUUGCUAGGGACCCCAGGACUCCAGGAGAUUGGUCUGGUAGGAAAGCAUGAGCUAUUGCAAUCUGAUCUUUCCUCUCUGGACAUGGAAUCAAAAAAAAAAAAAAAAAAAAAAAAAAAUCCAGCUGUGGGGCACCUGGGUGGCUCAGUCAGUCAAGCCUCUGACUUCGGCUCAGGUCAUGAUCUCACUGCUCCUGAGUUGGAGCCCUGCGUGGGGCUCUAGGUGGAGCCUGGAGCCUGCUUCAGGAGACUGUGUCUCCCUCUCUCUCUGCCCCUCCCCCCAUUCGCUCUCUCUCUCUCAAAAAUAAAUGAACAUUAGAAUUUUUUUAAAAAGUCCAGCAGUAGGUUGCUAACUUAAGGAUCUGUAGGCCUAAUGAGGAGGCUGCCAUUUAUGGUCAUGCUUAAGAUGGGUAAGCAGAGGAAUCUCAACAACACUAAGGAAAAUGACAGAAGCAUUCCAAGAAGCACAGAUAUGGUGAGAGAAAUGGAAGUUUGAAAGGGAUUGGUCCCAAAGUUACUUUGAAUUCUAUCCAUCCUUUGGCUGGCAUGUUUUUUGUUUGUUUGUUUGUUUGUUUUUGUUUUUGUUUUGUGGUUCCUGUGAUACUUCACUGAAUUAAAAAUAAAUUCUCUUUCUUACUUAA